rnacentral:lncRNA from 1 species
UGGGAGACGUACCUUCUCCUGGUCCCCUCCCGAGACACAGAGCUCUUGGGUGCAGGGAUGGCAGAUCCUUUACUAGUUGGGUGGCAGCCUGGGAGUGUGGGCGAGUCCUGGGCGUGUGAGUGGGAGCUGAGGCUGGGGCCCUACUGUGCCAGAACCGCAUGGGCCAGAGAAUAAGUGUGCCUGAGAAGAAGAGCAAGGUUAGCGCCACUGAGAGACCUCAUCAAUUAUGCAGAUCUGAGAGGAGCGAGUGGGUCUGAGAAAUGGGGAGAAGACAGGACGGAGCCGGGGACUGAGUCACAAAGCAUGAACCAGGAGAGUGGGUCCAGAAUCUGCCCCAUCCUGUGAGGACAGGGAGUUCAUCCGGGGAGUGACCAGGACCACUGGGGUGGGUCAGUGCUGGAAGGAGCCGCACUGGGAGCUGGACAGAUGGACACUGUCCUGGGAACUGAUGGUUACAGGCCCACUGCCCCAUCCACAGUGGUGGGUGACCCUCAAGGUACUGCAACCUCCGCUUCAGGAUCUUUUCCGUACCUGGAUCAAGAGUGGAUGAGAGGAUGAAGGCACUACGGCACCGUGAGUCCAGGGCAGGACGGCCUCCACUUUGCCAUGGCCCAAGACACUGGGGGGCACAUGCUCAACUCCAAGUUUUCCUGCACCUUGGCCCAGGCCCCUACCGAGGAGUCUCAGGCCGUGAAACCACACGAGGCCUUUCCAUGGAGUGUUAUAGGCUUAAAGCCCAUGCCCCUCUAUGACCAGACUUCCCUUCCUGCUUAUCAGAAAUUCUGAGACGACAUGUUUGCUUCCCCUCAAGAUGUCCAGCACUUUCAAUUCACUAAUUAAAACUUCUUACUUU